UUGCACUGAUGACAUAUGUUUUGUGCCACGUUUCUGGACCACUGACCAACAAUGAUGGAAUUGAGGAACUGAGGAA